CUUUCAAUCCUCUUCUUGAGAUUC
rnacentral:other from 1 species